GUGUAUGUGGUGUAAUUAAACACGUUAGCUUUUCAUGCUAAAGAUAUAUUCAAUAUCAUGCACA
rnacentral:tRNA from 1 species